AGACUCCUACGGGGCGCAGCAGUGGGGAAUAUUGCACAAUGGGGGAAACCCUGAUGCAGCGACGCCGCGUGAAGGAAGAAGUAUCUCGGUAUGUAAACUUCUAUCAGCAGGGAAGAAAACAGACGGUGCCUGACUAAGAAGCCCCGGCUAACUACGUGCCAGCAGCCGCGGUAAUACGUAGGGGGCAAGCGUUAUCCGGAUUUACUGGGUGUAAAGGGGGCGCAGACGGCCACGGCAAGCCCGGUGUGAAAGGCAGGGGCAUAACCCCUGGACUGCACUGGGAACUGUCAGGCUGGAGGGCCGGG
rnacentral:rRNA from 1 species